CCGCGCGGCGCCGCCUCCCGCGGAGGCCCAUGCGACGGCAUCCAGCCCGCGCGGCGACGCCCCCCGACUGUGCCCCAAUAAUACAUGUGCUGCAUAUGCUUUAUUUCCACGGAUUGCCCAUGAGUGAGGAAAUUGGCCCAAACUUACCAUGGCCAACUUGACUCUGCCGAGAACUUCAAAAGGGUUGCUGUCAAAUUCGAGAACCAGGUGUUCCAUGAGGCUAACAGUAAGUGAGAAAAUUUGCUCAUAUGUGCUACAAGAAGAUGCUAUAAGUGAGCAAUUGCUUCAAAGUUCUUUCUAAUUUUAUCUGGAGCACAGGUAUGUUUCUCUGAUGAUUACCUUGAAUCAUGAACUUGCCACUUUGCAUUGCUGUUAG